GCCGAUAGAACUCAUGGAAUCCAGAAUCAAUAUGGAAUGAUAAAAUUCGUCAAAAAGUUAAAACACUUUAUUAACUUCGAAAGAAGAGAUUUAUAGAAGUCCUACAUCGAAGGGAUAACAGCUCUACUUGGAGCCCCCCGUAAACCUUCAGAAGUUUAUUGGAGUAACGUACAUAAUUGGCCAAUAAAAAUAAAAUAAAACGCAUUAUGAAAGACAGUACAGACGAGCUAGUGUUUAGUGGCGUAUACAUCCGUCUUCGUUCCUCUGAGAGUUUUUAAUUGGUUCUUGGAAAUUUUUCUGGAACUAUGAGGCCAAACAAAGCCAAUCAAAUCAAUCUCCAAUCGUUGAGUCAAGGAAUUACUAAAGAGUUGUUACUCUGUCGAGCAGCCUAUUGGAUGCCAUAGGGACCCUGGGGCAUAUCAGCCGCCUCGUUGGCGCUACUGGAUAGUAAGGCUCCUUAUCAAGAAAGGUAAUUUUCAUUGGUCACUACUAUGCAUUUCGUUUGUCCA